ensembl:snRNA U1 U1 spliceosomal RNA
GUACUCACCUGGCAGGGGAAACAGCAUGAUCACCAAGGUGGUUUUUCCAGGGCGAAGCUUAUCCAUUGCCCUCUGGAUGUAUAUGUGCAGACCCUUGCGAUUUCCCCAAAUAGGGGAAGUUCGACCGCAUAAUUUAUGGUAGUGGGGGACUACAUUUGUACUCUCCCC